rfam:Desulfovibrio alaskensis G20, complete genome.
UCAAGAGAGCCGGGCGGCGGAAGCGCUGCCAAUCCGGUCAGGCCCGAGAGGGAGCAGCCGUAACAGUUGUUUUCGGGUGCCCGGCUCCCUAAAGGG